GGCGCAGUGGCCAAGUGGUAAGGCGUCUGUCUCGUAAACAGAAGAUCGCGAGUUCGACCCUCGUCUGUGCCU
rnacentral:tRNA from 1 species